GAUGCGAGCGUUAUCCGGAUUUAUUGGGUUUAAAGGGAGCGCAGACGGGAGAUUAAGUCAGCUGUGAAAGUUUGCGGCUCAACCGUAAAAUUGCAGUUGAUACUGGCGUCCUUGAGUGCGGCAGAGGCAGGCGGAAUUCGUGGUGUAGCGGUGAAAUGCUUAGAUAUCACGAAGAACUCCGAUUGCGAAGGCAGCUUGCUGGACCGUAACUGACGCUGAUGCUCGAAAGUGCGGGUAUC
rnacentral:rRNA from 1 species